rnacentral:lncRNA from 1 species
CCAUUCAAGAACCUUGAAGAAGUCGACCCCUGAACAUUGAAGUUUCUAUAGUAAGCAGUAAAUGGUGCCUUUGACCAAUCAGUUUUGACCAAACCACCCCUCGUAGCCCAAUCAUCAGCGUUCCAUAAACUCGAGUAUAUCUUCAUAGGUUGGUUUUUAGGAAAAGCAACACCUUUUCUCUCAGCAUUUGCGAAUACUCUUAUAGGAGUGUUAUCCACCAAGAAACUGAAAAUACAAGAUAAAAAGAGCGUUAAAGAAAGGUGUAAAACAAUAGAAAGAUAACGUCGAGUUUGAAUCAUGAUAUUCUCUUAGUUCUUACACUAUCUUUUGAGAAUCCCAGAUGAUUGAGUAGGUGUGGAAGUUCUUGGUUGGAUCAAACCAUAGAUAGAAUUGUUGCUCUCUGUUUCCUUUUCCUUGAGUGAAGACAUUCGUAUGCAAGAUGUAAGGAUCACCUGUUGUGUUCCCUAAAAACUCAAAGUCGAUUUCAUCGUGAGUUGGUCCUUCAGAUGACAACUGCAACAGAUAAUAAGUUAACUAUCAAAUUUUGAAGAUCAUAUUCAUAUAUCUGAAUCUUUACUAUGCACUUUCAAAAUUUUCAAGUUCAUAUUACUACUAGCUAACAAUAUUCUUUUUUCAUAGCAUUCAAAAUGUUCUUGAAAAACCCGUGAACAUGUCUUUAUUAAACCCCACAUGUUGCUUUCAGAAAAUUCCGUAACCCAAAAGAUAGAAUUUAUCUAUUUGCAUGAGAAAGAUAACAGCAUAGGGUAUACAAACUAUAACAUCAUGGUUUUCGAAACUGUAAAAACUUACAUAAUAAGCAGUGACAGUUCCAGCAGAGUUGCCUGAAACAAGCUUCAGCUGCAUAUCGAUCCUCCCAAACAAAUACUCUUUCUUGGAUUUAAAACCCGACCCGGAUACUUUAUCCAAGGAAAGUGAAAGAAGCUGGCCUCCAUUGAAAAUCUUGGCCCGAUGAUCACCCCAUGUGAGAUCAAAAUCUUGAUAAAAGUUUCCAGCAGAAGCAACCAUGAGGAAAGAGGUUAGUGCCACCAUUAGAACAGUAAAAGAGAGACUUUUUGAGUACCCAUUACAGAAAGAUUCCAUUUUGGUAAGAUUAAGGAGGAAAGAAGAUGUUUUGAGUUGUGGGUUUUGGGUUUUAGAAGUAUGAAUAUAUAUAUAGUAAAUGAACAAAGAGGGAGUGUAGGAAGUUUUAAAGAAAGGUGAUGAAGCUUGUGAUCGGAUGCCAGCUGGAGCGGAGAAGCUGUUGCCAGCUGGGCAAUAAUCAAAGCUGGGGAAGGGUAUUUUGUUUGGCUUGCUUUUUGGAUGAUGGGGUCAUUGGUUUUGGGGAUUGCCAAACAUCCUGAUUUGUGGAUAACAUCUUUAAGUUUUCCAUAUGAAUUCGAAUAAGUCUUACAGUAACUACAGUUUUGGUACUUGUGCUUUAAUUAUUUUUUAUUUGGUCAGUUGUUUUAUUGGUCUUUUAUUUGGACAUUAUUAAAAAAUAGUUAUUAAAUAUAUAAAUAACGAGUAUUUUGACUUUAUUAUUAUUAUUAUUAUUACUAUUAUUAUUACUACUACAACUUCCACAUUUCAUACCGUCAUAUCUCAUAACUAAAGGUCAGAGCGUUGUUCCAGCAGUUAUCACGGUGUUAAGGUGCCUCAACGUAGACAAAAACACCUCUUUAUAGACCCGUAGUGAGUAGUCUUAAUGUUGACAUUUAACUAAAUUUCAUUUUCAGUGGUUAACCUUUUACAAUAAUUUUUUUUAGAAGUUUACAUAAUGGAUCACUAUCUAUUUUAAAUUUUUUAUAAAACCAUUUCAUUUAAUUAGUUGUUUUUAAGUAUAUCAUAUUUUAAUAACUAUGGUUUGUAUUAAACCUUACUGUGGUUUGUAAUAUAUAAAUGUUUGUAACAUUUAAUAGAAAUAAAUAUGUAUUAAAGAAAUAGAAUUUAUUUAAAACUAAAAUAAAACUAUGGGGUUAAAAUNNNNNNNNNNNNNNNNNNNNNNNNNNNNNNNNNNNNNNNNNNNNNNNNNNNNNNNNNNNNNNNNNNNNNNNNNNNNNNNNNNNNNNNNNNNNNNNNNNNNNNNNNNNNNNNNNNNNNNNNNNNNNNNNNNNNNNNNNNNNNNNNNNNNNNNNNNNNNNNNNNNNNNNNNNNNNNNNNNNNNNNNNNNNNNNNNNNNNNNNNNNUGUUUAAUCAAAUAGUAAUAAGCCAUAAAACUUGUAUUGGGAACGUUCUUAGAACUUUUAGUUUAUAUUUCCGAACAAGGUUUUUGUUUAUUUUAAAUAUUUUUUCCGAAAGAUUAAAAAUUAAAAUGUCUUGAAAAUUUCCAAAAGCUCGCUAUCGAUCCAAUAUGACAAAGGUUUUUAUGAAAUAGUAAUACAGAGAGAAAAGAAGAUAAAUAAAUAAAAAGAUAAAAGUUUAACCAAAUAUAGAAAAAUUAACUAAACAAAUGGAUAAAAAUGUUUUCUACACCAAGUUUUAUCAACUUCUUGAAAACUAAUAAAAAAGACAUCAAAUAAAAGUAUAUUGUAGUUAUAGUGAAAGUGUGAGAUGCCAAUAAAAACAAAAGUAAAGGCCUCAACAAAUGAUUCCAUUAACCUCAGGGAAAUAGGCAUGGCCCCCCUCAGCUUCCUGCUUUUGGCUGUGAGAUUCAUUGGGACUGAGAACUGAGAAGUGGAUGACAACCAUACUAUAUGCUUCCAAACAUUAUUACUUCAUUUAUUAUAUGCAUGGCCCUCAAAAAAAGGGGUUCUUGGAAUCAAAACAUUCUUUAAAAAAUAUUUACUUUGUGUUCAAAAAACCAUGUAUAAUUAAUCAGUAUCAUGUUUGCCCUUUUUUUUUUCCUUCUAGUUUAAGAUUUACGAUUUGUCAAUUAAGUAUGGAUUAGAUUUGUUGGUUAAAAAAUAUAUAUAUAUUUUAAAAAUAAAUAUUAUGUUUGAACCAAAAAAAAUUGUUUCCAAAAGAACAUGUUAAUAACUGCUAAUCAUACAAAAAUUGUAUAUAAUCUUUUGUACUGAAUCAUUAUGUUGUUUGAAUGCUUAAUCAUCCUUUAUGAUGAAUCCUUGGGGUUGUUUGAAUACUUGUACCUAAUUUAGGGUAGUCCAUUCUGUCAUGUUGUUUGAGUAGCUAUACUUAAUUAUUAGUAAUAUAAGUGGUUGCAAAAGAUCGAGAAGAGGUGACAUCAAUGAAUAAUGGUUUCAAAGGCAUGGUCCAUUCACUUGUACUACCUCCACUGGAAUUGACCUUACCUUCCAAAUACUAAGUAAUAGAGUUUUCAAAAGUACCCAACUUUUAUAUUUGUCUUUCUUUAUUCGUGACAAAAGUAUAGUGGUGGGAAAGAUCAAUAAAAUCAAAAAAUAAAAAAUAAAAAAAUAAAAUAGGAAUCGAACUACGUUGGACAUAAAUCGAAUAUAAUUUCUUUGUUUUUCCUUAGACUUAAAAAUGUGUAUGGCUUUAAAUAAAUACUUUUCAUUUAUCGACACUUCAAAAAUACUUAACUUAGACAUUUUAACACUUUCCAAAAACUAUACUCAUGCAUCAUAAUCACUUCUAAAUAAAGUAUUAAAGCAUUGAUGCAUCAACUUUACUUUUUCUUACAUGUACCGACUUUUAGUCGAUUUAUUUUCAAGAAAUAAAAAUGGUUUACUUUGUUUGUAUUUUUCUUUAACUACUUUAAAAAAAAGUCAAGUUUGGACUUGCAAAAAAAUGAUUUUUAAAUAGGGUUUUGUAAUUUUGUUGUAGAUUUGGUCCAUAAACUUAAACAUAAAAAAACUAAUCAUGAUCUUUUAAAUUCAUGUCAAAUUAUUUUAACUUUUUUUUAUUGUUUAUAUUUUCAUGAGCUCAUCCGAAGACUUAUUCUCUUUCCUCUAUCUUCCUUAUCGAUCACACAGCCACCCAACCCCCUUCACCUUCCUCCUUUGGUGACUUGACAACCUCCACGACACAGUGACCAUUAACCGCUAACUUUUGAUCAAGUUUGACUUUUGGUCAAUUAUGUUGGGUUUAGGUCUUAGAGGGACAAAAUGGUAUUUUCCUCCUGCAUUAGCUUUUAAUGGACUUAGACUCGAUAAGGAAGCGUAAAUAAAUGUUUUACCAUAAUUAUUAAAUUACGGUUAGUUAUUAUGUAGUGGUUCGAGGUAGUAUCGUUGCCAUUUAACUCGUUGUGUGGAUUUAUCUUUCAGAUGAGUUCUUCUGAACUUACUUCUUAUAUGGAUUAUGUUUAUAUGUAUGACAACUAGAGAAAAGCCUCUCGGAGGGAAUCUAGUUGGAUUAAAAGACUGUAAGACCAUGAAAAGCCUCUUAGAGGGAAGUGGUCAAUAUUAGGUCAACAACAGAAAUGACUUUCAGAUGGAAUCUAGUUGACUGGGGUUAUGUGUGCUAGCUAGAAUAUGUUAUGUGUCUGAAUGUGAAAUUAUAUAUAUGAUUACUUUUUGAUGCUUAUAUGAUAUGAUGUGAAAUGAAUAUGAUCUGUAUAAUGGAGAAUUGUUAUCAUUACUCACUAAGCCAUAGGCUUACAAUUGCUACUUUCUGCAUUUAGUUAUAAGUGGUCAAUAUUAGGUCAACGACAGAAAAGUCUUUCAGAGGGAAUCUAGUUGAUUGGGGUUAUGUAUGCUAGAAUAUGUUAUGUGUUUGAAUGUGAAGUUAUAUAUGAUUACUUUUUUAUGCUUAUAUGAUAUGAUGUGAAAUGAAUAUGAUUUGUAUAAUUGUGAAUUCUUAUAAUUACUCACUAAUCCGUAGGCUUACAGUUGCUACUUUAUGUCUUUAGUUAUAAGUCCUUCAAAUUCGAAGCGAAAGGGAUUGGCUUGAUUGGGGCAUCUGGACAUUCUCAAAGGCAUGACAUCCACUCCAUGUUAAUCUUUUAUGCCUUUUUUUUUAAAACAAAUAUUUAGCUUCCACUUUAUACAAUGAUUUUAUGUUGCUAUGUUAAUGAUGUUAUUGAUGGAACCCCCUUUUAGUAAUAUUAUACUCGGAUUUUCAAAAAAAAUGAUGGUUGAUUUUUGGAUGUUACAAGUUGGUAUCAAAGCUUUAGUUUGAGAGAACUAAAUAUGAUUUGUGUGUGUUUAGACACUACUCAUUUAAAAAAACUCAACUUGUUUUAUGAACUAAACAAAGUAACAGGAUAAGUUUUGAAAAAUAUAAGAGGAGAAACUAUCUUAUGCCUCGACUCGAAGAAGAGAAUGCAGAUUGUCCAGUCAUCUGAGCUCCAGAAUUAGUCAAUACUUGAGACUCUUGUGGUUGGUAAACAACUGACAUUUUGUACCAAAAAGAUAAUGUCUCCAAAGUUUUAGGGCAGAUACCACUGCAGCGGGUUCGAGAUCAUGGGUGGGAUAACUCUUUUCAUAAUCUUUCAGUUGUCUUGAGGCAUAGGCUAUCACUUUACCAUGUUGCAUCAACACACAGCCGAGUCCCAAUCUUGAAGCAUCACUAUACACGGAGAAAUCAUCAUCACCUUCUGGAAGUGAUAAGAUGGGAGCAUGAGUCAAAAGAUCUUUUAGAGAUGAGAAAGCUUUUUCUUGGGCUUCACCCCAUUCGAACUUUGCUUCCUUUCAAGUAAGACUAGUGAGAGGUACAACUAUACGAGAAAAGUAUUUAAUGAAUCUCCGGUAAUAACCCGCAAGACCCAUGAAACUACGAAUUUCGGAAGAUUUGCGAGGCGCUUCCCAAUUUUGAAUGGCUUCAAUUUUGGUAGGAUCUACGGAUACACCGUCACCAAAAAUAACAUGGCUGAGACAUUGAACUUGGCAAAGCCAAAAUUCACAUUUCGAGAAUUUAACAUAAAGUUUCUCCUUUCAAAGAAGUUCUAAGAUUUCACAAAUAUGAACGACAUGAUUAGCUUCAGACUUGGAAUAGAUUAGAAUAUCUUCAAUGAAUACGAUGGCAGACGUAUCGAGCAUUGGGCGGCAUACUUGAUUCAUCAUAUCCAUGAAUACAGCGGGAGCAUUUGUCAAACCGAAUGGCAUGACAAGGAAUUCGAAAUGCCCAUAACGAGUACGGAAAGCAGUCUUCGGUACAUCCUGCUCUUGUACUUUCAACUGAUGAUAGCCAGAUCUCAAAUCAAUCAUUGAGAAAUAGCUAACACCCUGAAGUUGAUCGAACAAAUCGUCAAUGUGAGGUAGUGGGUACUUGUUCUUGAUAGCCACCUUAUUCAGCUCACGAUAAUCAAUGCACAUCCGCAUUGAUCCAUCCUUCUUCUUGACAAACAAUACCGGAGCACCCCAGGGAGAGGUACUCGGUCGAAUAAAGCCUUUGUCAAGUAAUUCCUGUAGUUGGAUCAUCAUUUCUUUCAUCUCGGCUGGCGCAAGACGAUAAGGAGUCUUUGCAAUCGGAGCAGCAUCAGGCAUAAGGUCAAUUCGGAAUUCUACUUGUAUGUCUGGAGGAAGUCCAGGCAGAUCAUGGGGAAAACAUCAGGAUAUUCAUUAACAAUGGGAACAUCAUUUACAGUUUUAUUCUCCUUUCUUGAGAUGUCAACUGUAUAGGCCAGGUAGAUAGGGCAGCCCUUCGAUAUAAAUUUACGAGCUUUGAGGAAAGAGAUUAUUUUUAAGAUCCUUUGCUCACCGUAGACAUGAAUAGGAUCUUCCCUUUCAAUAGGAAUGUGUACCAUCUUUUCAUAACACAAGAGUUAUUCAUGGUUCUUUGACAACCAAUCCAUGCCGAGAAUAAUAUCGAAGUUGGGCAAAGAAAUAGGGAUUAGGUUUGCAAGAAAAUUAUAGCCUUCAAUUUCUAUGAUACAAUCCCUAUAGAUUUUAUCAGCAAGUAAUGAUAUACUUCCCACAGUAUCUAAGUGAAAUGGUUGCGCGAGUGCAUAGCAAGUAGUUUGAAAAGAAUGCGCAAAUUCAUAAGAUACAAAAGAAUCUGAGGCACCAUAAUCAAAUAAGAUGUGAGCAGGUCUAGAGUUGACAAGAAAUGUACCCGUCACAACAUUCGGGUCCUCGCGUGCUUCCUAUGUGGUAAUCUGGAAUGCACGACCCUUAGCUUUUGGCACCUCCUCCUUUUUAGCUGGAGUAUUCUUUGGUUGUUGGACAGGGACUUGACUUCUCGCCGGUUGUUGAACAGAAGUUUGACUUCCCGUUAUCUGACUAGUAAGAGUAGGGCAAAAACACUUCUUGUGGCCAGUAAUACCACAUGCAUAGCAAGUCACAUCCUUCAUUGGGAAAGCUGGCUUUAUAUGACCAAUUUCUCCACACCCAUAACAGACAAUGGAUUCCUUGUCUAUUUUGCAUUGACCCAGAUGAUUCCUUCCACAAACGCAACAUGAAGGCGGUUGAAUAGAAAAAGAUUGUGACCUGCCGCGGCCACGAAAAGCACUCUGAGACCGUGCUUUCUUGCUAGGAUCAGUUAGAACAGAUUGAGCUGGUGGAAUAGUGGAAACAGGAGUAGUCCUUUCAGUACGUGGAUGCUUUGGAACAGUAAGAGUGGCACCAUUUAUCUCUAAGUCAUGCUCACGCCUUCAAACAUAUUUAACAGCUUUAUCAAAUGACAUAACAUCCCGAUUGGCUACAAAAUCAUGGAUUUCAUGUCGUAGUCCUUCUAAGAAUAAUUGAAUUUUCUCAUCUUCAGUUGGAAUAUACUUUGCAGCAAACCGUGCUUUUUGAUUGAACUGAGUUUCGUACUCAUUCACAGUCAUUCCUCCUUGUUUAAGCUCGAGGAAUUCCUUCUCCAAUCUUCUCCUCAUAUCUAGAGGAUAAUACUUUUCUAGCACAUGAGUUUUGAACAACUCCCAAGAUAAAUUCUCCUGGUCAUAUCCGUUGAGAGCUUCAUAUGUUGCUUCCCACCAGACCAAGGCUUCUCCGAUGAGCAUUGCAGAAGCAUAGAUAGCCUUGUCUUCAUUAUCCACAUGAGAGACACGAAAUACUUUCUCGGUGUUCUGAAUCCAAGUCAGAACAACUACGGGAUUAAGGACACCAGAAAACUCUGUAGCACCACUACUCUUGAAAUCUUUGAACGAGGGACGCUUCACCUCUCCUAUUGAAGAUUCUCCGGGGGCUUUCUUUUUUCCUUUAUCACCAUUCUUUUUAUGUUCUUCGAGAGUUUGUCGAAUAACACCGGUAAGCUUACCCAAGAGUCGCUCCUCACGAGGAGAUACCGGAGUAUUCACUUCCUCGGGUUGAGGACCUCCACCAACCUCAGGGGUAUGGCUAAUUACUUGUUCAGCCAUCGUUCUGAAAUUUAGGAGUAAUAUAGUAUUUUAGAAUAUUGGGAUUUAUUAUAACCUAAUACUUCACUUAAGUCUUUCCUAUGGUUUGUAUCCAUAUACUUAUAAUGAUUCAAGUAACAUACUGAACUUCCAAUAGUUUAGGUCUAAAUACCAAUCCGUGGAAUUUAGUUCGCUUAAACUACUGCUCCGAUACCAUGAUUGAAAGACCCCAACUUUCGUAUUUUUGAAAUACCCAAACUUUCAUACUUCACAAUAUUAUUACUCCAAAACAUGCUACUUGCAUAUUCAUAAAAGCCAUAUUUUACAUUGAUAAAGAGGUUACAAACUACUAGAUACAAACCGACUAUUACAAAGUGUUAUAUAUUACAUAACUACCCAGGAUAUUGUAAUUUAUACAAAAAUAAACUAAAGUACAAAAGUACUAUUACAAACUAUUCUAAAUCUUUCAACAAUAUACGAUUGUACUAGUUACUUAUCUCUUGCAAUUGUUAAACAUUGAUAGGGUAAGCGGUGACGCUUAGUGAGUUCAAUAAUAGAUACAAUAUAACGUUAUGCUAUAUAUAUACUUCAAUAUGGCAGAAGCAAAGACAAACAAGGAACAACAAAGGCAUAUGUGAAUCAUGUGUUAAGCUUUCCAUAUCAAUCAAUGACUUGAUUCAAAGGUAUACAAUCAAUGAGACAUAACAAUUUCCAUACUUGAUAUACAUCAAUAAAGAUCCGGCCCAAAUGGCACAGAAGACAUAAGAUUUCUGAUUAACAUCUUGGUAGAUUUUAGGCUUAUAGCCCUGUCUAACCAUUUGCCAAUGCCAUAGAAUAGAACUCAUUCUCUUACAGAGACAUGCUCUACAUGGACAGAGGCUACGUACCAGUACCAAUGUGAAUCUAAGUCCUUUCACUGAUCACAUGGUCAAAGGUAUUUGCUAUAAAAAUAGCGAAUAAAAUAACAUGGGAAAAUAACCCGGAAUAAUAACACUGAAAAGCACAUAGCACAUAUAAUACAUAACAUACAAUUGUUCCUAUAUAUUGAACUCACCUUGAAUUAAACGGGGGUCAAAAUAGUAAUGUGGGCAACACUUCGGCUUUAAAUAUGACUUUCUAUAUUGAAAACCGGGAGUUUUCUUGAUAACCGGGCUCUGCGAAGGUAGAGCUUCAAAACCGAAAAGAUAAAUUUUCCGGGCUUCUCGGGCACUUCGGGACAUGUUUUGGGUGUUAAAAAUAAUACCGGGGCUUCGGGGGAAGUCAAAAUAGUAAAAAUAUUGAUUUGUGGGUCAAAAUUGGCAAAUUUCACAUUUUACUCGGGAGGAUUCGCAACCCUCCUAUUUAUAGGGUGCGAAGAUGCGAGGGUCGGAUGAGAAGGGACACGCGGCUACUAGAGCGAAGGCCAUGAAGCGAGAAGGGAGAGUUGGCGAGGUAUCGUGCCGGUUUUAUCACGGAUCUUCGAUUGGUCAUAACUUCUUCGUUAUAACUUGGAUUUCGACGAGGUUUUCACCUACAAGUUUCUAACGAGAUUAUCUACAAUUUUCAAUAAUAAAAUUUUACUUAUUCCAAAUUUUAUAUUUUCGUUAAAUUUCACCAUGUAACAUUUAAUUGGAAUCUCAUAAGACUUCCAAUAUUUUCAGAGUGAUUCUAAACAUAGUUUUACUUCAUUUCUAGUCAAAACCAUUUGUUAGAACUCAACAUUCAAAUUCACAUAAUAUUUCGUAAUAUUAUUCAUUACAAAACACGAUUUCAAAACGUGUAUGUUACAUCUUUGGGUCGUUUCAAGUUGGUAUCAAAGCCUUGGUUUUAGGGAUUCGGGCACACUCUCGGGUGUAACUGAACUCAAACUGAGGAAUUGGUAAUUUUUCUUAAAAAGAAAACGAGUUUCUAAAAAGAUUUUUAUAAAAUGAAUAAAAUUUCUAUAAUGAUUUUUAUAAAGACAAAGGAGGUGCGAUGCGUGCAAUCGUCCCAACUCAAGUAAGUGAUGCCCAGAAUACCCAUACUUGUUUGUUAUGAUUAUAUGUUAUGAGAACUGCUUUCUAGGAUGAGGCUAAGGAUACUUUCAGGAAUUGCAUGAUAGAUUGACCUCAUAUGUGAUNUAUAUGUAUAUUACACAAACAAACACACACACAUAUAUAUAUAUAUAUAUAUAUAUAUAUAUAUAUAUAUAUUGGUAUUAGUAAUUGCUAAGUUUAUGCUUUAAAAGUUGUAUAAAAUUAGGAUCAUAUUGAUGGGUUUUCUAGGUUAUAAACAAAAAUUACAUGUGGCUGAAAAAACACUUAAACCCUUAAGUUCACAUGAAACCUCGAAUGGACCUAUGUUUUCUCCAUUGAUAGGCUAUGAAAUCAAAAUUCAUGCAGAAAAUUAGGGUUACAUAUUUUUUGAUUAUUAUUGUAAAUAAUCAAAAUAGAAUCGUUCUUCUAGUUCUUGGAAAGCUAGCACUAAAGGAAUUGAUGCCUGUAAUGGCUUGUACCCAAAACUCUAGUAGCAAGAAGACUUUAGGAGAGAGGGGACUAGAUCAUAAAUACAGCUCUGCGAAAGCAAGUAAAUGUGUGUGGAAAAUAGGCACCCAUUGCGUCCUAUUUCUACUUGCUCAAGGAAGCUCCCAUGGAAACCAAAGAGUCCUUUGAAUGAUUAAUUCUAAUUAAUCUUAGAAUUAAAUCCAAAUCAUUCUAAUUAAUCAAUAAACCAUUACUAUUUCCAAUUAAUAUAUUAAUCAUAUAAUAUUAAUAAAUCAUAUAUUUCAAUUUCCAAUUAGUUUAUUAUUCAUAUAAUAAACUAACAACUUAUCCUCUAUCUCUAACUAUCAUUCUAAUUAGUUACUAGUUUUGAGGCAACCCAAAAAGCACUUUGCUUCUAAUUCAAGAAUAUACCAAUUUAUUUAUUGUCUUAGACACCUUAAUCAAAUAGUCUUCCACUUAGAUAAGUCUGUAACUACAAUUGCAAGUAUAGACCUUGAAAUAAACAGCAAAGAGUGCUUUGCAAAGUCACUGCCGAACUCUGAUUCAAAUCGGUUAUUGUCCCUAAGAUAAAUGAUCAGCUAUUCCUUCAUUCUUCAAGAUAUCAUAUGAACACGAGACAUCAUAUGAACAUGAGACAUGUAUCAUAAUAAAUCUCAUUGUCCAAAAUUGUGUUUCCCGAUUUCCUGAUUUGUAAAGACUUGAUUGGACAUCAAAUUGAACACAUCAAUUAGUCUUGGUUGGGCCUAGCACUAUAUAGUCAACAUCAAAUCAUGGAACGGACUAAUGAUAUCACUUUUCCUGUUAGGGCAAAAGGAAUGAAUUACAUUGACUACAUAGUCAUAUAAUUCACACAUGGUAUUACCCUUUAUAACGUCCAGUUACGAGAUGCGUUUGAGUAAGCUAAUACAUAACUAAUCUGUAAACAAUGAACUAUAUAUCUCUACUUUAAGGAUAGAAAAUAUUAUCGUCUGAGAAUUACUUCUAACAAGAUCCAUGAAGUAAUCUCUAUGCGUGGGUUUAUCAAACACUUAAAAUCCUUAUUUCCAAAGUACUCAUGAAUAUUGUAGCAAUUCAAAUUGUAAUGUCUUAACCUCAAUCGACAAUCUACAAUCAAUUCAUGAUAGUCUUAAUUCACUACUUACUUCCAGAAGUAUGAUUGACUGUGGAAGUUUGAAUAAUUUAAAUUACGUAGGAAGUGUAAACAUGCAAAAAAGAAACACUAGAAAAAAUAAUUGAAUGAGGCAGUACAAUACUCAAUAAUAAUUCUCUAUUAUUCAUUCAUCAAAUCAAUUACAUUUAUUUUGUUACAAGUUUCAAAUAUAUCAUCUAACUACUAAAUAUGCUCCUAGCAUGCUGGUAGUGUUUGACCCUGCUCAGAGCCUUUGUGAAAGGAUCUGCAACAUUAUCUUCUAAUGAUAUUAUCUUCACUAGAUGGUGUCCUUUUUCUACCUAAUGUCAAAUGUAAUGGUACUUUCUGUCUAUAUGAUUGGAUCUACCAUGAUCCUUUGGUUCUUUUGUCAAAUCAAUAGUGCCUUCAUUAUCACAGAACAGUUCCAUUGAUUCAUGAAUAGUUGGAACGACUCUGAGAUCUUCGAUAUAGUUCUUCAACCAAGCCACUUCCUUUGAUGCUUCACGCAUAUCAAUGUAUUCAGACUCACAUGUGGAAACAGCCACUAUGUCUUGCUUGGAACUUUUCCAAGUAAUCGCUCCUCGAUUCACUAAGAAUACCCAACCAGACUACGAACAAAAGUUCUCUCGGUCUAUUUGAAAACUAGCAUCACUGUAACCACUCACUCUUAGCGUAUCACUUCCGCCAAGAACUAGGCACAUCUCUUUUGUUCUUUGAAGAUAUUUAAGAAUAUUCUUCACUGAAAUCCAAUGGGUUCUGCUAGGAUUUCCCUAAAAUCGACUAACUAUGCUCAAAGCAUAAGACACAUCAGCGCGAAUACAGGUCAUUGCAUACAUGAUCGAUCCAAUAGACAAAUAGUGACCUUCCUGGUAUUGUAUGUUGAUGACAUACUUCUUAUAGGAAAUGACAUUCCAACUUUACAAGAAGUUAAGUCUUGGAUUGGAAAGUGUUUCGCUAUGAAGGAUCUGGGAGAGGCUGCUUAUAUUCUAGGGAUAAGGAUUUUGAGAGACAGGAGUAAAAGACUAAUUGGACUUAGUGAAAGUACGUACUUUGAUAAAAUACUAAAACGUUUUAGUAUGGAGAAUUCCAAGAAGGGAGAACUGCCAAUACAAAGUAAUACCAAAUUGAGUAAGACUCAGAGUCUGAGUACUAAUGCAGAGAUAGCGGAAAUGAUUCGAGUUCCAUAUGCUUCUGCCGUUGGAUCAAUCAUGUAUGUUAUGACAUGUACUCACCUAACGUUGCUUUUGCUUUGAGCAUGGUUAGUAAUUGUCAAGGAAAUCCAAAUAAAGCUCAUUGGAUAGCGAUCAAGAAUAUUCUUAAGUAUCUGUGAAGAACCAAGGACUGGGUCCUUGUACUUGGUGGUAGUGAUAAUUUAAGAGUAAUUGGGUAUAGUGACACCAGUUUUCAGACAAAUAGAGACAACUUAUGUUCUAAAUCUAGUUGGGUUUUUACCUUUAAUGAAGGAGCAGUGACGUGGAAAAGUUCCAAACAGGAGACGGUGGUUGAUUUUACCUAUGAAUUAGAGUACAUAACAUCAAGCGAAGCAUCGAAGGAGGCUAUAUGGUUGAAGAACUUCAUCGAAUACCUUGGAGUUGUGCCAGCCAUAAAGGAGACAAUGGAUAUUUUCUGUGAUUAGGAAAGAGCGGUUGCCUUGACAAAGGAACCAAUAGAUCAUGGCAUAUCAAGACAUAUCAACAGAAAAUAUCAUUUCAUUAGACAUAUAGUAGAAGAAGGUCACCUCUUCAUGAAGGGGGUAUCAUCCAAAGAGAAUCCAACAGAUCCCCUCAGAAAGGGUCUGAGUAGGAUUAAGCACAUUCAUCAUGCUAGGAGCAUUAGUCUGAAGGAUGAUAUUAUUUUUAGUAGUUAUAUAGUUGUUUUAGAAACUUGUAACAAAAUACAUGUAAUUGACUCUUGAUGAUUAAGUAAUGGAUAAUCAUAUAUGAGUAUUGUCUACUAUCUUUUGUCAAUUGUUUAUUAUUGCGUUUCAUUUUUCAUGUUUUACUUCCCGAAUAAUUAGAUUAUUCAAAAAUCCACAGUCGAUCAUACUUUUGGAAGUAAGUAGUGAAUUAAGACUAUCAAGAAUUGAUUAUAGACCGUCUAAAGAGUUUUAGGCAUAAUAAUGGUAUUGCUGCAAUAUUCAUGAGUACUUUGAAAUGGAGAAUUUAAGUAUUGGAUUAACCCACACUCAGAAAAUUACUUCAUGGAAUUUAUCAUGAGUAAUUGUGAGAUGAUAAUAUCUUAUAAUCUUUAAGCGGAUGUAUAUGAGUUGUUGCUUACGGGUUGGUUGUGCAUUGAUAAUAUGUAAACGCAUCAGUAACUUGAUAUUAUAAAAUGCAUUAUUGUUCAUGAUUUGAUGAGUAAAUAGUGCAAGCAUAUAAGUCAAAAUUUAUCUGUUCCUUUUUCCCUAACGGGAAAAGCGAUAUCUUUGGGCCCUCGAUGAUUUGGUGUUGACUUAUAGUGUCGAGGUCAGGACUACAUAGAUGUGUUUGAUUAGUAGUUCUUUGUCAUUACAAAUCAAAAAUCAGGAAACAAAGUAUUGGACAAUGAGAUUGAUUUUGUUCCAUGUCAUUUGUCCACAUGAUACCUUGCAAAACAGAGGAUUAUACGGUUACUUAUCUUAGGAAACAUAACUAACUAGGUCAGAGUUCGACAUUGGCUUUGAGAGCUACUAUUUGCCGACCGAUUUAAAAGAAUAUAUUGGCAAUUAUAGUUAUUAGACUUAACCAAUCGGAAGACUAUUGGAUUUGGUGUCUAAGCCCAUAACUAUAAGUGGAAUAUACUUGAAUUGAUAGUAGCAUAGUCCUUUUGGGUUGCCAUCAAGACUAGCAAUUAAGGAGGAUGACUUGGGAGAAAGAGGUUGAUUUAUCAUUUGAUUAAUAAAUUAAAUAAAUAAUGUGUUAAUAUAUUAUGUGAAUAAUAUAUUAAUUAGAAAUAGUAAUAUUUAAUUCAAAUUUUAAUCAGAAAUUAAUUGGAGUUAAUUUUGGGAUUAAAAGAAUAAAUUAAAAGUGCAGGAACUGAAUUGUAAUUGUUCAAUAGUUGAGCAAGAGGCAAUCUAGAACCCUCCAUAGGCCAUUUACGAUUUUUUUGUGCCUUAGGGUUUCUAGAAUAGUCUCUAAUGGAUAAUUACCCGGUUUAAGAUAAUCUUAAACUUGGGCUUAUCUAGGGUUUCCUAUUUGCACUAUAAAUAGGGACAUAACCCUACAAUUUUCGGCCACUUGUUCCAAGAGAGAUCCAGCCAGAAAUUUGAAGCCUCCCUCCUUCUACACAAUCUUCUUCCAUUGCUAGUGUUGGGCGUGAUCCACUAGAGGCGUGACAAUUUUGACGCUUGUUCUCAAAGUCUCGACAACACUAAGGAUUUGUAUUUUUAUUUCUACAUAACAAUCAAAGGUUUGUUUUAUAACCAUAAUUCUGUAUUUUUGAUUAUAUACGAGUGUUCUAGGGCUUCUGCAUUCGUGUUCAUAUUGUAUGUUCAAUUAAAGCAGACAUAGAUCAAAUUUAGGAUUACAUACAUACAUAGGAUCGUUUGUUAUGCUCAAAACCUAUCAAUAACAACAUGUACGAGAUUCAUUAAUCCACUACUUGCCUCAUAUAAACUUGUAAACAAUGACCCUGUCAUAAUUUCUCUAAUGAACAAAACUCUCAUGCAUCAUUCAAUUCGAAUUGUAUGACUCCAAGUUUCUGUCCCAUUGAAACUUUGUGAUGAGAUUUCCUUUCACUUGGUCAAAUUUGACAAUACGACAAGCACAAUAUUAUAAGAAUAGCAUCCAUCAUUAAUAUUGCUAUUAUUAGAAACACACUCAUUAAUGCCAUUUCAAGGAACUAUAAAAUAAGAUAUCAAAACUUCAUUUUAUUGAUAAAAGAAAAUUGAAUCGUCUCCUUACAAUACAUAAAAGAAAACUAUGUUUCUAGACAUCAGCAAACUAUUAAAGCUAUCCUAACUCUUAAGUAGUAGUCAAAAUUCUGACCAUCGAACCAACAAAAGUCCAUUUCUCAUGAUCAGAUUUAGCUUGCUUUACUUAAGCUUCCUUCUUUAUCUUAGAUUUUGUAAUACCAUCAGAAUGUGAUCAUUACAUCAUGUAUUAAGAGUCUAUGAAUAGGAACUUAUAAACAAUAGAGUUAGAUAAUGGAUGUACUUGAAGUAGAGUCACACGACUUGACUUUACUAUCUCUAAGAUCUUUCAGGUAUUUUGGACAGCUUCGUUUCCAAUGUCCUUUUAAUUGGCUGUAAAAACAAAUGGACUCAUUAGGAUCAACACAUGGAAUGAUCUUAGAACAAGCCUUUCUCUCUACCAUACGAUCAGAUUGUUUAACCUUGGUCGAUCCCUUUUCUAUUCGGAAGAGAAACCUUCUCUUGAUUACCAUUGUCAACGUCCAAUGAAUUCUUGGUAUUAGAUCCUUCAAUAAUUUCUUCUUAGUUGUACUCUUCAGCAUUUAUACUUCUACAGUUAUCAACAUCUUGGUAAGAUCAGCUGGACCACAUGGAAAUUCCUCAUAUGAAAGUUUUCAAGGAACUAAACAUAUUACUUAGGAAGCAAGAUAAGAGCCAAAUCAUUUGAUUGCUCCCUCGAUAAUUUGAUACCCAUUCUUCCCAGUUUGUCAAUGUACGAUUUCAUUUUCAUAACAUGCGCACACAUAGAAUUUCCAUCUAUGUGUUUACAUGCCAAUAGGGCUUGAAUAGUUUCAUAUCUUUCAACUCAAGAAAAAUGUGACAUUGGGUGAGUCACAGGAGGAGGAGGGUGAAACGUUGAAGGGAAACGAUGUCCAAUUCCACCAUUUCAUAACGAAGGGAAGACAACUUCACCUUGACUUAAAUGUUGAAGACCAUCUUCAGAAGAUUGAGGAAAACCAUUUCCAUAAGAACGAGGAAGGCCAUUUUUAUCUUGAAAAGACAUCUAAAAUUAGGAGAAGAGAGAAUUCAAGUUAGUUGAUUUUAACCCUUAAUUAUUAACCCAAAAUUUAAAUUAGGGCUAGGAUCCAUAUUUUCGAUUCAAACUUUGAAGAGAGAUGUUAUAAUCAACUUGCGAAUCUAUUUUAGGUAGGUAAGGCUUUUAAUAAUUUCAAUCUUAUGAAACUCCUAUAUCGUUUUAGAUUCAUUGAAUCUUAUCAAUGUAAUAUUGAAUCUCAGAUUAUGCUCUCACUUUUUUGACUGGGAUGUCGAGGAUCAUAAACGAGAUGUGAAUAACCAUGCAAACCCGCUUGACAACCUUAACGUUAUUUAUCAUCUCACAUUGAUGCUCCAUUUAACCACACAUGCUCCAUCAACAACAAUAAUUUUCGAGUUGUGUCAUCAUUUCAACUUAGUAGUCCUACAUUUGUGUGUCAGUUAACCAUGCAUGCUCCACUAACGACUCAUAAAGAAACGAUGUGUGUUUUCAUGGAUUAGCAUAUUUUUCACAUUUUUCCUAAAGUAACUAGAGUUAGAUUUUUAAAAGAAGGUUCUAGUACUUUAUAGAUUAUAUUUUCAAUCUGAUUAUGUCCUAUCAAACCCGUUCAGUUAACGACCCUCCACCACACAGGAGAGCGGUGGGUGAAUAUGACACCCAUUUAACAAUUAUUUUAUAGGUCAUUUCCUUAUACACUCUUUAUAGCAUGGCCUCGUAAAUGAGGCUUACUAGCAAUUCAAGUGAUUUUAUCUUAUACAUAUAGUAAUUAACUUUUAAUAAAUAUAUAUGAGAUGUAUUUUAAAACCUUUUCAAAGUACUAGGUUUAAAUGUUAAUUAUCUAAAUUAAACAUUUAAUUAAUUAAUAUUAAACCAAUUAUGAUUUAUCUGUAUCCUUUAAUUUAACAAUUUAUUAAAUAAUUAUCUUUAUCACAUUAAAUAGUUAUCUUUAUCCCAUUAAAUAAUUAAUAUUAAACCAAUUAUGAUUAUCUUUAUCCUUUAAUAUUAAACCAAUUAUGAUUAUCUUUAUCCUUUAAUAUUAAACCAAUUAUGAUUUAUCUUUAUCCCAUUAAAUAAUUAUCUUUAAUUAAACUAUUAAUUAAUUAAUUCAAAUUUAAUCCCUACCUUCUGAAUUUCAAAAUUAAGGUUAAGGGUUACCAAGUUUUAAUUAUUCAAAUUUGAAGGCAAUUAAAAUAAUAAUUAAGGAAACCCUGUGAAUUUUUGAAAACAAGGCACUGAGGCUAGGGUUUCAAGAAACCCUCGCAAAGUCGAAAUUUUCAUGAGCUAGGGUUUAUUUUCAAUAAAUCCUAAUCUUUUGAUCCAUUCAAGUUAUGCAUAAUCAAUAGAAAACAAUGGCUCUGAUAACACUGAUGGGUUUUGUAGGUUACAAAAAACAUGUAAAACAUAAAAUCUUAACCCUUAAGUUCACAUUUAACCUACUUUGGAUCUAUGUUUUCUCUAAUUGAUAGCAUUAAACAAUGAACAUCAAGAACCCUAAUAAUCCCUAGGUAUUUCGAAAAUACAAGUAGGAUUAGGGUUUAUAUACCUUAGAUUUAUUAUAACAAAUAAAUCUUAUUCUUUUCUUUGUUGGUCUUCAAAAAGCAAGCAAAAAAAACUUAGUGUCUCUAAUGGUUUGUACCCAAGACCCUAAAAACCCUAGAAUAAUGAGGAGAGAGAGGGGUAGAAAUUUUGUUCCUAAGCUUGUAGGUAAAGUUAUGAACGAAAUUUAAUGUGCAAGGGGUUUUAUUUAUAGUUUAGAUAACUUGCAGCCAAAGCCAUAUUUGAAUUAAUUAAAUAAUGGAUUUAAGCCCAACUUAAAUACUUUCUUUAUUAACAUCCAGGAGGCUUAUGGAAACCCUAGAAGAGCUCCCAAAGCCAUCCACCAUUUGAUGGUUCUAGAAUUGUCUCUUUUGUUCAACUAUUUAACAAUUACAAUUCACCAAUUGCACCUUCAAGUAAUUCUAAUUAAACCUGAAUUAAUUCCAGAUUAAUUCUGAUUAAUAAUUAAUUAAUUUUAAUUGAUUUCUUAUUAAUUUAUUAACCAUAAAUUGACAAAUCAAUUAUUUAACUAUUGAUCUCAUAUUAAUUUACCAAUCACAUAAUAAAUUAACAAAUCAAUUAUCUAUUUCCAAUUAAUAUAUUAAUCCUAUAAUUAAUCAACAAAUCAUUUCACUCUCUCCCUCUCUCUCUCCUAAUAUCAUUUCUAGCUAUUUCUAGUUAUGAGGACAACCCAAAAUGGACUUUGCUUCUAUUUGCAGGUUUAUACCAAUUUAGUUAUGAGCUUAGACAUCUUAAUCCAACAUUACCUUAAUUAUUAAAUUAUGUUUAACUAUUGUGUAGUGGUUCGAGGUAGUAUCGAUGCUACGUAGCUCGUUGUAUGGAUUUAUCUUACCAAUCAUUCAUGUGAGUUCUCGUAAACUUACUUAUUAUAUGGACUAUGUUUUAUACGUAUUCCAAAUAUAGAAAAGCCUAUUGUAGGGAAUCCAGUUGGAUUAAAAAUAUGUAAGGCCAUGAAAAGCCUCUCGGAGGGAAGUGGUCAAUAUUAGGUCAACGAAAGAAAAGCCUCUCAGAUGGAAUCUAGUUAAUUAGGAUUAUGUGUGCUAGUGUAUGUUAUGUGUCUGGAUGCAAAGUUAUAUGGGAUUACUAUUUGAUGCUUAUGUGAUAUGAGGUGAAGUACAUAUGAUCUAUAUAAUGGAUAAGUUUUAUGAUUACACACUAAGUCGUGGGCUUACAAUUGUUACUUUAUAUCUUUAUUUGCAUUUCCUUUAGGUUAGAAGAACAAGGAGUUGGUCUGAUUAGGAUAUCUGGACAUUCUCGAGAGCAUGACAUCCAUUCUAUGUUUAUCUUUCAUGAGUUUGUUUUAAAAAAAAAAAAAAAGAAUUUAGCUUCCGCUUAUGAGGAUGAUUUUAUGUUGUUAUAUUAAUGAUUUUAUGGAUGGAACCCCCAUUUUAGUAAUACUAUACUCUGAUUUUCCAUAAAAAAAUAUAUUGUUGAUUUUAGAUGUUACAAAUUGAGCUCAAAUCAAAAGUAAAAAAUUAUCCCAUAUGAGAUUUGGUACAAGAAAACCCCGAAUUGCAACUAUGUUUUAAUUUAGGGAUGUCGGGUUGUAUUAACAUUGUCCGAGCCUAAAAGGAAAACAUUG